rnacentral:rRNA from 1 species
GACGAACGCUGGCGGCGUGCUUAACACAUGCAAGUCGAACGGAAAGGCCCUGCUUUUGUGGGGUGCUCGAGUGGCGAACGGGUGAGUAACACGUGAGUAACCUGCCCUUGACUUUGGGAUAACUUCAGGAAACUGGGGCUAAUACCGGAUAGGAGCUCCUGCUGCAUGGUGGGGGUUGGAAAGUUUCGGCGGUUGGGGAUGGACUGGCGGCUUAUCAGCUUGUUGGUGGGGUAGUGGCUGACCAAGGCUUUGACGGGUAGCCGGCCUGAGAGGGUGAACGGCCACAUUGGGACUGAGAUACGGCCCAGACUCCUACGGGAGGCAGCAGUGGGGAAUAUUGCACAAUGGGCGGAAGCCUGAUGCAGCAACGCCGCGUGCGGGAUGACGGCCUUCGGGUUGUAAACCGCUUUCGCCUGUGACGAAGCGUGAGUGACGGUAAUGGGUAAAGAAGCACCGGCUAACUACGUG